GACGAACGCUGGCGGCGUGCUUAACACAUGCAAGUCGAACGGAAAGGCCCUGCUUUUGUGGGGUGCUCGAGUGGCGAACGGGUGAGUAACACGUGAGUAACCUGCCCUUGACUUUGGGAUAACUUCAGGAAACUGGGGCUACUACCGGAUAGGAGCUCCUGCUGCAUGGUGGGGGUUGGAAAGUUUCGGCGGUUGGGGAUGGACGCGCGGCUUAUCAGCUUGUUGGUGGGGUAGUGGCUUACCAAGGCUUUGACGGGUAGCCGGCCUGAGAGGGUGACCGGCCACAUUGGGACUGAGAUACGGCGCAGACGCCUACGGGAGGCAGCAGGGGGGAGUAUGGCACAAUGGGCGGAAGCCUGAUGCAGCAACGCCGCGUGCGGGAUGACGGCCUUCGGGUUGUAAACCGCUUUCGGCUGUGACGAAGCGUGAGUGACGGUAAUGGGUAAAGAAGCACCGGCUAACUACGUG
rnacentral:rRNA from 1 species